UACGAAGGGGGCUAGCGUUGCUCGGAAUCACUGGGCGUAAAGCGCACGUAGGCGGAUUGCUAAGUCAGGGGUGAAAUCCUGGAGCUCAACUCCAGAACUGCCUUUGAUACUGGCGAUCUUGAGUCCGGGAGAGGUGAGUGGAACUCCGAGUGUAGAGGUGAAAUGCGCAGAUAUCAGGAAGAACACCUAUGGCGAAGGCAGCUCUCUGGGGACGGUACUGACGCUGAGACGCGAAAGCGUGGGGAGCGAUCCGG
rnacentral:rRNA from 1 species